rnacentral:rRNA from 1 species
AGCGAACGCUGGCGGCAGGCCUAACACAUGCGAGUCGAACGAACCUUUCGGGGUUAGUGGCGGACGGGUGAGUAACACGUGGGAACGUGCCUUUAGGUUCGGAAUAACACAGGGAAACUUGUGCUAAUACCGAAUGUGCCCUUCGGGGGAAAGAUUAAUCGCCUUUAGAGCGGCCCGCGUCUGAUUAGCUAGUUGGUUGAGGUAAUGGCUCACCAAGGCGACGAUCAGUAGCUGGUCUGAGAGGAUGAUCAGCCACAUUGGGACUGAGACACGGCCCAAACUCCUACGGGAGGCAGCAGUGGGGAAUCUUGCGCAAUGGGCGAAAGCCUGACGCAGCCAUGCCGCGUGAAUGAUGAAGGUCUUAGGAUUGUAAAAUUCUUUCACCGGGGACGAUAAUGACGGUACCCGGAGAAGAAGCCCCGGCUAACUUCGUG